rnacentral:rRNA from 1 species
UUUCCGUAGGUGAACCUGCGGAAGGAUCAUUAUUGAAAUAAACCUGAUGGGUUGUUGCUGGCUCUCUAGGGAGCAUGUGCACGCCUUGUCAUUUUUAUAUCUCCACCUGUGCACCUUUUGUAGACCCAGGGAUAUCUUUCCAGGGGUCUAUGUUGCUUCUUCAUUUACCCCAAUGUAUGUCAAUAGAAUGUUGUGCCCAUGAUAAAAAUCUAUACAACUUUCAGCAACGGAUCUCUUGGCUCUCGCAUCGAUGAAGAACGCAGCGAAAUGCGAUAAGUAAUGUGAAUUGCAGAAUUCAGUGAAUCAUCGAAUCUUUGAACGCACCUUGCGCUCCUUGGUAUUCCGAGGAGCAUGCCUGUUUGAGUGUCAUUAAUAUUAUAUAUCAAACCCUCUUUUUCUGAGUGGUUUGGAUGUGGGGGUGCUGGCCUCUUGAAGGGGUCAGCUUCCCCUGAAAUACAUUAGCAGAACGACCUGUUUGUUCAUUGGUGUGAUAACUAUCUACGCUAUUGAACGUGAAGGCAGUUCAGCUUCCUAACAGUCUUUGGACAAUUUAUCAACUAUGUGACCUCAAAUCAGGUAGGACUACCCGCUGAACUUAA